rnacentral:rRNA from 1 species
UACGUAGGGUGCGAGCGUUGUCCGGAAUUAUUGGGCGUAAAGGGCUCGUAGGCGGUUUGUCGCGUCGGGAGUGAAAUCCACUGGCUUAACUGGUGGCUUGCUUUCGAUACGGGCAGACUGGAGGUAUGCAGGGCAGAACGGAAUUCCUGGUGUAGCGGUGAAAUGCGCAGAUAUCAGGAGGAACACCGGUGGCGAGGGCGGUUCUCUGGGCAUGUCCUGACGCUGAGGAGCGAAAGUGUGGGGAGCGAACAGG